rnacentral:rRNA from 11 species
AAAUUGAAGAGUUUGAUCAUGGCUCAGAUUGAACGCUGGCGGCAGGCCUAACACAUGCAAGUCGAACGGUAACAGAAAGCAGCUUGCUGCUUUGCUGACGAGUGGCGGACGGGUGAGUAAUGUCUGGGAAACUGCCUGAUGGAGGGGGAUAACUACUGGAAACGGUAGCUAAUACCGCAUAAUGUCGCAAGACCAAAGAGGGGGACCUUCGGGCCUCUUGCCAUCGGAUGUGCCCAGAUGGGAUUAGCUUGUUGGUGGGGUAACGGCUCACCAAGGC